rnacentral:lncRNA from 1 species
GGUAGAAAUGGCUAGAACGUGCUUCGAGGAUCUCAAAAAUAUAAAAAAAAUCAAAAACGGGGCUAGGGAGCACUUACAAUCAAGCUUGAAAUGUUGAAAACCCUAGCUAUGGAGCCUCUUGAAUUUUUGGCACACCAUGUAGGAGAUGGACAACAUUUUUACUUGAUGUUUUCGUUUUUAUUCUUUAAAUAACAAAAUGAC